rnacentral:lncRNA from 10 species
GCCCCAUCUCCAAACACUGUCACUUUGGAGUUAGAAGUUCAACAUACGAGUUUUGGAGGGACACAAACAUUCAGGCCAUAGUAGCUCUUUAAGAAUUGAGGAAGAAACUUGAAAGGGUAGGAAGAUUAAAGAAUAAAAAAAAAUGUGAACACAUUUGUAGGAAGAGACUUGGACAAGAGGAAGCAACUGAGGAUAGAGAUGAGUAUGAAUACUGGGCAUGGUUGGAAUGGAGAGUGUAGGUGGUGGGUCAGGGAGUUAAUGAUUUAAUUCAGCAGCUUCUGUGGCCCAGGCAGGCAGUAAGCUAGGUGAUAGAAAUAGGUGGACUCAUGGAGUCCUCUCACUGCCCCAUGUGAUGGGGGGUGGGUGGGUGUUACCUUCUUUUUCUGGGUGAGGAAACAGGUUCUUAGAGGUUAAGAAAAAGAGACAAGAUGAGCAGCUCAGUGUCAGCACUAGGAUCUGAUUGCAGAGCGUGUGCUUUCUUCCCUCUCCCCUCACUCAUGACCUUGUAAGACCUCCCCAGUUCCCUGAACUAGCAGAUGCUCCUAUUUCCAAGAGACUGGGAUACCUCAAGGGUCUUCAGAAAAAAAUCUGGUUGAAAACCUUAGAGUUUUUUACCUAGGAUCUUUUUUCUUUUUCUCCUUAUGUCUCCUAUGGUAAUUCUGCUAUGGGUAACUCCUUGUGUCUUUCACUGAAGAAUGAUCUUUCCUUCAAAGCUUUAACCUUUUUCUUUUAGUGAGUAGUUUAGAAAAAUAUAAAUGAGUUCCAUCCAACAUGCCCCGCAGCUCCAUAGCCAAUGGAGCUGGAAUAUUGGAAGACAUGAAUUUCCCUUUUAUUUCCCCAUUCCUCAUUCCCUUCUCCCUGCUUCUCCUCUUUUUCUCCGUCUCCCUUCUCCCUCCCUUCUUUGUCAUUAUGUUGUGCAUGGUGGCAUAUAAAGCCCACCUCCAUCUGCCUAGGUGCCCUGUGGGAACUUUUCAGAUCUUGUAGCCGUGAAAACUAUUAUCGGUAUUCCUUGAAAGACCACUAUAUACAGAGCACACUAUCUAGCCACUUUGUAGAAUGGAGAUCUUUUUCUCAGAGCACUUUAGACAACUGCACUCUCUUCCGAAAAUAAUCACACUUAGUGCCUCACCUCUUAAUUGUGCAAAGUGGUAUCUCUCCUCCUCCACUCCACUCUUUUCCCUUUCCGUCUCCUCCCCUCCUCUUCUCUUCUUUCUACUCCCCUGUCACAUGUACCCAGGCCUUUACAUGUGUUGGGGAUCAGUUGUGGCUGUGAGAUCAUUUUACAGCAGUGCUUCAGGACUUAUAUGCCCAAAAAUUUAAUUUACUUUGGUUUAAAAUAUUUUAGGAAAUAAGUUCAGAUCUGAGAAAUCAUGGUGGAAUGGGCCCAACCAGAAGAAGAUAUUCCAGAAUUGUGAAUGGCAUAGACAGCUCGCUGAUAGCCCCAACUCCAAAAGUCCCAGAUACACUUACUCAUUCUCCAGAAAGAUUUCAGGCUACCAAAAGGUACUGUACCUGGUGAGAUGGAAGGAGGAAUACUACUUAGAAUAACAAAAGUGUCCUCUUUUAAGUCAAUUAAUAAAUAGUAUUGGGGGGAUUGAAGGAGUCUAAACUCUCAGAGUGACUAGCAUCUUAUAUAAAGACCUUGUAUGAAUACUGAGAGGGCUCAGCUCCUUCCAAUAUACUCCAGUCAAUAAAGGACAGUGAACAGUUCCUCAUUUUAACCCCUUCUCUUUUUCCUCCCCUCUUCUCUUUUCUCUUUCACUUCCCUUCUUCUCUCUCUGUAUAUUUUUCAGACUGCAAAGAGUGUAUAUCACAAGGAAGGCCUUUCCAAAUUCUCCAAAUCUAUUUAAAUUGAGAAGCACAGAACUG